rnacentral:tRNA from 1 species
GCUAGUGUAGCUUAAACCAAAGCAUAACACUGAAGAUGUUAAG